rnacentral:ncRNA from 1 species
GCACACCCCAGACCUUUUUCAGUCUGGCAGCAACACAUUCGAGCGGUUGGCGGUUGGUGAUUAUGGGCAUAACAUUGGCAAUACCCUUUUCUCAGGCUCCGUGCAGGGUGUUUUUCCUGCAUAGUAACUUUUAUCUCCGAGCGCACAAGGGCGCAUUUAUGGCAUUAUUCUGUUACCUCUCUUUUCUACACGGCUCUCGCACUCCCAAAUUUGCGUGCUUUGCGUGUACGGACUAUUUGCACAAAUAGACCGCUCCAACUUGCUACAUUGGUCUGUAGUUCCGCUCGGUGUGGUUAUUUAACACCCUAUUUAAGCGUUCCGAAACGCACGGACAAUUUUUGAUUUUCCCAGCCUCAAAAAUAGGUUUCCCACAAAAAGGGCUGUUGUUUU